rnacentral:rRNA from 1 species
UACGUAGGGUCCGAGCGUUGUCCGGAAUUACUGGGCGUAAAGAGCUCGUAGGUGGUUUGUCGCGUUGUCCGUGAAAACUCACAGCUCAACUGUGGGCGUGCGGGCGAUACGGGCAGACUGGAGUACUGCAGGGGAGACUGGAAUUCCUGGUGGUAGCGGUGGAAUGCGCAGAUAUCAGGAGGAACACCGGUGGCGAAGGCGGGGUCUCUGGGCAGUAACUGACGCUGGAGACACGAAAGCGUGGGGAGCAAACAGG